rfam:Capsicum annuum cultivar Zunla-1 chromosome 4, whole genome shotgun sequence
UGGUAGAACUAAUAUGGUGGUUGCUGCUCUUAGCAGGUUUUCCAUGGAGAGAUUAUCUUAUAUGGAUGAUAA